GCUCCUAAGCGCUCUUUCUGUUUUAUAACUGUGUCAAGGCGCUGUGAUGUAACUCAGUGCUGCCGUUAGCCUUUGCACACUCACACAAAUGAGCUGGCAUGAAUCGGUCCCUCUCGCCUUCAUUCCCUGUUCUCCUUUUUAAAGGAAGAGAGGGGGGAAAGGGCAGUCAGAAAAGCAACCCCCCACCCAGCAUAAAAGCAAUGGAUUCUUAACUGAACGGGUCAGCUGCAAUGACAGACCUCAAACAGAUGAGCGAGCGCAGAGGAUGGAGGUGCAUACAAAUAGGCAAAGGCGCCAGCAGCAAGGAGCAGAAAGAAUGGCAGAGAGAUCAACCAUCAUUUUAAUACCCUUCAAUAUCUUCUGGAAGAAAACUGGUAUGCCUACAGCUGCAGAGAGGAAAGUGCCAAGAACAAAUCAACAUAACUGAUAGGAAGAAGCCAGCAUCAGGAGUUGAAUCCCACUUGGCAGAUAGCAGACAGCAUCAGAGACACCCAGAACAACUGCAGCUGUGGUGCCCAAGCUGGCUUGUGCCAGCACAUGUCUGAAUUCAUGUUUCACUCUGGCAACGCCAAAAGAUGUUGGACCUCUGCUUUCCACAGGUUAAAGUAUGCAUGCAAGUCCAUCCCAGCAUGUUCCGUGUGAUAUCAAAGCAGGGAGAGGGUGGCUACUGUCAUGUAGGCUGGUCCUUUGUUAAAAUCUGCACAUUUUCCAAACACAGAUUUCCUAGUCCAGGAUAUCAGAAACUGGCAUUGUACUGGGCAAAAUGUACAAAUAUAGGAAAAUGUGGUUUGAACCUAGGUGUAGGAAUAUAUAACAGAAAUGGAUGGCCAUCAGCAGUUCCUCUUCAAGGAAUGAGAUAUUUACUGUAUUUGACCUAGCAGACACCACUAGAUGGUAGCAAAGUGCCUCAGCCAUACAAACAAAUUGGAUUAGAAACUUCACUAAAGGAAGUUAUUGGAAUUUAUUCACAACCUGGGUAUUUCUCAAAGUUGUUUCUGUGCGCAUCCAUUCUGAGGUGCAUUUAUCUCUUUAUCUUGCAUUUAUCAUGCCUUUUCCUCACAAGAUUAAAAACCAGAACACAUGAAGACUCAAAAGGUGUCCUGCUAAAGCAAAAUUGAACAAGUUCUUACAUUAGAAUAUUAUGGACUUAAAAAGUCAAUUGAAAUGCUUACUUUAGGAACAGCACCAAUUUAUUAAAAGCCUCUUAUGUUCAGUAGCCAGGCAAUUCUUGAAAGCCUGUCUGAAUAAAAAGACUUUGCCUACCUGCAGAAAUGCAACAAGGAGGAGGGCUGGUUGUGCAAGAAAUAAUUGUAAUUCAAGAACACAACUUUACUUGUUGUUAUUGUUGUACAGCUUUGAGUCAAUUCCAACAUAUGAUAGCCCUAAGACAGCUGUAUCAUAGGGGUUUUCUGGGGCUGAGAGUGCAUGAUUUAUCCAAGAUCACCCAGUGGAUUUCCAUGGCCAGGUGGGGAAUUGAACUCUAGUUUCCAGAGUUGUAAUCCACCAUUCAGAUCUCUAUACCACACAGUGUACUUUAGACACAAAGUAAAUUAAUUUGACAAAGAGCAAACAAUGGUGUCUCAAGGUGGAAGCAGCCCCUCGUGGAACAUGCUGUACACAACUUUGAGGCUCACCAUGGGAGAAAAGCAGGAUGGAAAUAAACAAACAAACAAAUAAAUAAUGUAAAAUAAUCA